rnacentral:rRNA from 1 species
AUAUCAAUAAGCGGAGGAAAAGAAACUAACAAGGAUUCCCCUAGUAACGGCGAGUGAAGUGGGAAAAGCUCAACUUUAAAAUCUGGCAGCUUUGCUGUCCGAGUUGUAGUCUCGAGAAGCGUUUUCCGUGUUGAAGCAUGCAUGAGUCUGUUGGAAUACAGCGUCAUAGAGGGUGAGAACCCCGUUCGUGGUAUGCCUUUCAAUACUUUGUGAUACGUUUUCGAUGAGUCGAGUUGUUUGGGAAUGCAGCUCAAAAUGGGUGGUAAAUUCCAUCUAAAGCUAAAUAUUGGCGGGAGACCGAUAGCGCACAAGUA